AACGUAGGAGACAAACGUUAUCCGGAGUUACUGGGCGUAAAGGGCGUGUAGGUGGUUUCGGAAGUCUGGCGUGAAAUUUUUCGGCUUAACCGGGAAAGGUCGUCGGAUACUGCGGGACUAGAGGACGGUAGAGGCGUGUGGAAUUCCGGGUGUAGUGGUGAAAUGCGUAGAGAUCCGGAGGAACACCAGUGGCGAAGGCGACACGCUGGGCCGUACCUGACACUGAUGCGCGACAGCAUGGGGAGCAAACAGG
rnacentral:rRNA from 1 species